GACGAACCGUGCGAACGUUGUUCGGAAUCACUGGGCUUAAAGGGCGCGUAGGCGGGCCAUCCAGUCAGAGGUGAAAUCUUUCGGCUUAACCGGAAAAGUGCCCCUGAUACGGAUGGCCUCGAGGGAGGUAGGGGCGUGCGGAACUUCCGGUGGAGCGGUGAAAUGCGUAGAGAUCGGGAGGAACACCUGUGGCGAAGGCGGCCGGCUGGGGGUGCCCUGACGCUGAGGCGCGAAAGCGUGGGGAGCGAACCGG
rnacentral:rRNA from 1 species